rnacentral:tRNA from 1 species
GUCUUUCUAGUAUAAUUCAGUAUAGGUGCCUUCCAAGCACCCCGUCUUGGUUUAAACCCAAGGAAAGAUA